rnacentral:lncRNA from 1 species
UGGUGCAAACAGGACAUCAUGUAGGAAUAAAGUUUGGCCACCAUAUAAAAUAUGCUUGCAUGUGCCAAUUCCUUUAACUUCUACUCUAGCAUUGUUUUCCACAUAAAUCCAUCUUAUACCAGCUAGAACUCGAUGUUACUUUGCGAAUGUACUUCCAUCUAUCUCCUACUACAUGGUUUGUUGCUCCUAAGUCUAUAAUCCACAUAGGAUAAGAAUUAGUAAGUAAAAUAGUACUAGAAACAUAAACAGAAUGU